GAGACAGCUGUUAGCAGUCUGGCUACUGGCCAGAUGUAGGGAAAGACUUCCCCACCUUGCUUGACCCAUAGGGUACGGCAAUUUGGCCUCCACUAGGACUCCUCCAGCAUGUAUAUGAAGCAUCUGCCACCAGAGGGCAACCUGUGCUGCACCUACUUCCCUCUGCAGACUUGUACUGGUGCUUAAAGGGCAGAAAUGGCACAUCGGAAGAGCAAACGU